rnacentral:tRNA from 1 species
UCCUUGGUAGCCUAGUGGUUAAGGAUCCAGCAUUGUCACUGCUGUGGCUCAGGUUUGAUUCCUGACCCAAGAA